rnacentral:misc_RNA from 1 species
AAAUAUCAUGCUGACGAUGCGGCUAAAUGUGAUAAUCAACCAUGUCGCUGCUGGCUUGCAUAAACACAUCCACCAACGGAGUGGAGUGUUCACUGGUUAACCAUCCCAACAAACCCCAUUUAGCCGCAUCGUCAGCAUGAUAUUUUUCUUCACUUUUUGGUGAACCCGUCCCCAGGGAUAGCACCAGAAAUCGGCUAUAGUCUGUUGGCUCUAUGGGGAAGAAGUCUGCGUUAUCGCGGUUAAUUUCUUUCAUCACAGCAUUCAUAGCCACCAAAGCCGGAUUAUUAGCAGCCACGCCUCCAUCAAUAAGAUCGAAUUCCCUUACUUUUCCUGUGGAAUCUUUGGUUUCGAAACGGUGUGCUGGAAGAU